rnacentral:rRNA from 1 species
AGUCGAGCGGUAGCACAGAGAGCUUGCUCUCGGGUGACGAGCGGCGGACGGGUGAGUAAUGUCUGGGAAACUGCCUGAUGGAGGGGGAUAACUACUGGAAACGGUAGCUAAUACCGCAUAACGUCGCAAGACCAAAGUGGGGGACCUUCGGGCCUCAUGCCAUCAGAUGUGCCCAGAUGGGAUUAGCUAGUAGGUGGGGUAAUGGCUCACCUAGGCGACGAUCCCUAGCUGGUCUGAGAGGAUGACCAGCCACACUGGAACUGAGACACGGUCCAGACUCCUACGGGAGGCAGCAGUGGGGAAUAUCGCACAAUGGGCGCAAGCCUGAUGCAGCCAUGCCGCGUGUAUGAAGAAGGCCUUCGGGUUGUAAAGUACUUUCAGCGAGGAGGAAGGCAUUAAGGUUAAUAACCUUAGUGAUUGACGUUACUCGCAGAAGAAGCACCGGCUAACUCCGUGCCAGCAGCCGGGGUAAUACGGAGGGUGCAAGCGUUAAUCGGAAUUACUGGGCGUAAAGCGCACGCAGGCGGUCUGUUAAGUCAGAUGUGAAAUCCCCGGGCUCAACCUGGGAACUGCAUUUGAAACUGGCAGGCUUGAGUCUUGUAGAGGGGGGUAGAAUUCCAGGUGUAGCGGUGAAAUGCGUAGAGAUCUGGAGGAAUACCGGUGGCGAAGGCGGCCCCCUGGACAAAGACUGACGCUCAGGUGCGAAAGCGU